rnacentral:pre_miRNA from 1 species
CGUCGGAAAGGCUGUGGUGUGUUGCCAUUUUACAAUUUCAUAUCACAGCCAUUCUAGAUGCG